rnacentral:rRNA from 1 species
GCGAUCAUACCAGCACUAAUGCACCGGAUCUCAUCUGAACUCCAAAGUUAAGCGUGCUUGUCCGAGAGUAGUACUAGGAUGGGUGACCCCCUGGGAAGUCCUCUUGUUGCAUCCC